rnacentral:misc_RNA from 1 species
AUUCUUUCCUGGCCAUCAAUGUAAGCAGAAAACUCUGAUGGCCUUGCAAUUACAAGAGAAUGAUGCCUCAGUAUUUAAAACAAGGAAUAGAUGAGGGGGAAGAGGAAUGGCAUGAUGUUAUAGAAGGAGAAGUACCUGCUGUAUCUGAAAAAGUUUCUCUGUCAGUGCAUGCUAUGGAAGGCAGUCAUGGGGUUCAUACCAUAAGGAUAAUUGGGCAGCAUAAGAACAGGGAAUUGUUGAUAUUAAUAGAUAGUGGUAGUACCAACAGUUUCUUGAGUGCAAGAGUGGCAAGGGCGCUGAAGUUAUCUGUUGUUGAAGGGCCUACAAAUGUUGUGUGACAGUAGCUGAUGACAGGAAAAUUUCUAGCAGCAGCAUGUGUCCUAACUGUAGAUGGGGAAUGCAGCAACACUCUUUUGUAUUUGACUUCAAGCUAUUAGACUUGUGGAGUGUUGAUAUUAUAUUGGGAGUUGACUGGUUGAGGACAUCUAAUUCCAUUUUAUUUGAUUUUCAGCAAUCAAGAAUUACUUUCUAGCAUGCAGGGCAGUUGGUUACAUUGCAAGGAAUCAAUGAUUUGGGCACUCAAUUUAAAUUGCUGCACUGUACCAGUUCUCAAUGUAAAUUGUUGCAUGGGAAGGGAAUGUUCAGCAGUAAUUCUGGUCAUACUUUUGCUGCAUCAACUGAUUUACCAGGGAUAAUUUGCAAAUUCUUCAGGGCCUUAUUAAGUGGGAUAAUUUCCAGCGGAAGAAGCUACAUGGGGGCUCAAAUCAUUCGUCCUAGCUCAAUUUCUUAAAUUCUCUUCUUCUUGGGGACAAGAAGAU